GGGGGGUGCGAGCGUUGUCCGGAAUCACUGGGCGUAAAGGGCGCGUAGGUGGUUUGAUAAGGGUGUGGUGAAAGCCCGGGGCUCAACCCCGGGUCUGCCGUGCCGACUGUCAAACUCGAGGGCUGUAGAGGCAGACGGAAUUCCGGGUGUAGCGGUGGAAUGCGUAGAGAUCCGGAGGAAGACCGGUGGCGAAGGCGGUCUGCUGGGCAGUUUCUGACACUGAUGCGCGACAGCGUGGGGAGCAAACAGGAUUAGAUACCCUGGUAGUCCACGCCGUAAACGAUGGGUACUAGGUGCCUGGGGGAGCGACCCUCUGGGUGCCGGCGCUAACGCAGGAAGUACCCCGCCUGGGGAGUACGACCGCAAGGUUG
rnacentral:rRNA from 1 species